ensembl:lncRNA
CUUUCCCGUAGUUGAAGUGGAGUUUGAUGUUCUUGCCCUGGUUGAUGUGCAGGUAGGUGAACCACACGGCGGAGGUGAGCAGCACCAGCAGCAGCAAGAGCUUGAACUGCUUCCGGAUCUUCUUCACGGGGAAGCGCAGCAUCCUGGCUCACACAUCCUCCGGUAGCCGCCCGGUACAGAGUGGAAACGGGUCCGAUGGGACGGGGACGGGGACAGGGAGGGGGACAAGCGGUUCAAGCGGGUCGCUGCUGUGGCGCUUCGUUAGUCUCCCGGGUCACAGCGGCGGAAUCCCGGGAAGCCUGCGAGGAAACAGCGGAGCCUCAGCCCGGUCGGAGCGCGUCUCGUACCCGUCGGAUCCACGUGGGGACAGAUGCGCCCGACUCGGCGUGUCCUCAGAUCUGGGUCCACACACCUCUGUGGCUGUCAUUGCUCGCGAAUGCAAAAAAAAAAAACACGGUUCGCUUCCCCUCCUCCCUCUUCCUCCCUUCCCCUAUGAAUAGCGUGGCUGGUUAAACAGGCGUCCCCGCCGGAGGUUCCGGGCGGCCGGGGCUCUGCAGGGGGGAAAGGCUGCAGAGCAAAAGCCGCUCACAUUCAGUUAAAGAGCGCGACCGAGGCAACAAAAUAGCAGUCCGGCGAUAAUCUGCACAAAUCCCUCUGUAGCUCAGGCAUUUGCUGACACCGCGACGCUGAUUAUUUUAUCAAGGAUCAUCCCCCCGCGCAAAGUACCAACAAAAAAAGAGCAAAGAAGAAUAUUUAGUUCCCACGCGGAGAGGCGAUCGGACGGAGCAUUUUGCAGAGAUGGAAAAAAAAAACCUUCCUUGCACAAAGCCGGGGUUCUCUUUCUGCGCUUCGCCAAUGACAACAAAUACAAUUAAUACGGCCUUCGGUUAAAUAUGGCGAGCGCGUGGAGGGAGCCUGGCCGGGGGGAAAGGUGAAGGUGGCAACCCACCCGAAAAACACAAAUGUCACAGCCCGCUCGCGCUCCGUCCAGCGGCGUUGAACGCACAGCUGGAACUGAGACUCCGGCUUUCGCGAUCCAGUGUGGAGGAGUCAAAUGGAGCGCGUUUUUUUUUUUUAUUCAAGUCCCGGGAGAGAGGAGGGGCGAUCAGCUGUGAUCCCCCACAACACUCGCGCUGGAUCGAAGCCGCCGCCCCCCCCCCAACGAGGAGUAAACACUUAAGAACUGCGAGCGCUCCACGGCGAAGAAGAGCUCCGUCGUGGACGUGGAUUGGCGGGUGCAGGCAGGGAAACAGGCGUCCGUGUGCUCCCUAUCGCGGCAGGUGCGUUUCACCCAAUUUUCGUCCACCACCCGAAAAAAGUGCGUGCGGGGAAAAGCGAAUAUACCCUCAUCCGGAUGAGACAAUUACGCGCGGAUUACGCGGCGGCGAAGCACUGCUUUGUGUUGUUAUUCUUUCGUGGGGUUUUUUCCCUUUACAACGCAGCAAGAGCAUCGUCCGACCCGCUUGUCGCCGUGCGCGAGGAGGAGGAGGAGGAGCGGGAGGAGAGCCAGCUGAGCUCCGGGAAGAGGGUCGCGCGCGGACCAGCAGCCGGCGGUGAUGUAACCAGAAAAUAACAUGGUUUCUUUUUUGUUGUUGUUGUUGUUGUUGUUUUGCCACGACGGAAACGCGUGAACGCGGUGUCUCCUGUCGCCGCACGGCUCCGGUACGCCCAUCAGCUGAGCAUCUCGGACGGUGCAGAGCAACCUAACCUGGGCGUACGUACGGGGAAUGGCAAGAGCGGCGUCCAAUCACAAGCCCGCAACGGGUGCAGAGGGGUGGGACGGAGACGCCCGGCCUCACCGUUCCUCGGCGCGAUUGUUAUCUGUCAUCCAAUAGAUGGACGCGAAUCCUGAAACUUGUUAAGCUUUCCCAUUGUCUUCCCCGCCGCCCUCUUCUGCAUCUAAUGCUCAUCUGAUCAACAAUGAUUUAACGGAUCCGUUUUUCAGGUAAUGCAGACAAUUUAUAUCAUUGCUCCAGAUACCUUCUGUGCACAAAAAUACAUUUUUUUGUCAGUAUUUUCAUAUAAACAGUUACAUGUAAAAUAAUUGACUGGCAUGAAUAAUCAUUCUUUAUAGCAGCUGUAUACAUCACACCGGGAAAAUCAACUGGUUUGAGGGGUAUUAGUAAAUAUCUGGUGUAUUAAGAAAGAAAUCACCUCCGGUCCGAUAUUCAAAGGGAAGAGGACAACAUAUAUUCUUGAUUUUUUUCUCAAUUCAAUGUGGCUGAAAUAUCAUUCCUUAGAUUCACUUUGCAGCUCAUUGCACAGCAAGUUGUGCAUCGUGUGUGUGUCCGUGUGUUUGUGUGCUUGACUGCCACCUUCUGGUCUACGAUACAAGAGCAAUGACUUAGACUUUAGAUCAGUCUUGACUUCAUCACUGGAGGAAAGUUGAUUCAGUCUAAUGAGAUGAAAUAAAAGUAUGAAAAGAGCAAUUGUAUUUGCCUUUAUAACUCACCAACUCCCCAAAUUCCAUUUAUUCAUAAUCAUUUGAUCUGUUAAUCAUAUUCAAUCGCCUGCUAAAGAGUUUUUAUUUAAAGACCCUGGCACGACCCAAAAUAUUAGCAUUCAACUGAAUUUAGCUAUUUAAAUCCUGUGCUCACAUUAAUGCUGUGUGGGGAUCCUCAAACUCCUCGAAUAGCAGUUCUAUCAAAAAUAAAAUAGAACCAAUAAAACAUUUUUGGUUUUUAAUGUGCUCACAUUGAACAAAUAAAAAAAUCUAAGUAUACUCAAACAAUGUAUACACAAGAGUGUACAUUAAACUGCACUGUUGAUGUGUACUAUGGGGGUAUUCUCCCAUGAUGCAAUGCACAAAAUAGAUGAUGACGCUGCUUACUGGAAAAAUCCAAACCCUAUAUGGAGAGUGGUGAAACAAUGACGUUAUAAAAAACUUUUUACUUUACCUUUGUUAAAUUUAACCUAACAAAUAAUCUGAAGUUUUUUAUCUGAAGUUGCAGCUUGAAUAACGUCUGACACUGUUCGAUUUCUGUAAUUGUUGUAGUAUGACAGGGUUUUAGAAUGUUGAUUACUUAACAUUAAAAAAUACUAGAGCGACAAGUAUUUGGAACACACUGUUGAAAUGAGACACUGAUGAGGCUGUAAAUGGACCCAUUGACAUUGCAUUUAACAAAGGAUUAAGCACAGCCUUUAUAUGUCUCAUCAGGCAGAUUAAGUGAAAAUACCUUUGCGCAAAGUUUGCGUGUGUGUGUUUUAAUUCUCAAAAUGAACCAAAGCAGAACCAAACACACAACAGUGAUCAUUCUCAAUAGGACAACAUGCAUCACACAUGUGGUUUAUCCUCAGUAAGUACAAGUCCAAUCAUCCAGCUGUAGCUCUGAUAAGCUAUUGAUGCUGUGACAAAUCUAGAUAAAGGACAGCGGGCACAAACCCUGGACUUUAAUAAUGUGACCUCAAUUUAGGUUUUUUUCUCCCAGCUGUGCAUUCUGAAUCAGUCGGACCACAAACCGUAAUCCUCUGUCUUUGUGGAUUAAUAAUAUAAUCUUCAGUGCAAACACGGGGCGUAAUUUAAAUGCUUAGGUAUUUGUCUGGGUCUUAUUGAAAUGAGUCCUUAGCGAAUCACCUCAGCCAAGCAUCCGUUGCGAUGAAACAAAAACUUUGAGGCAUUCACCUCGCUGCGGCUGUUGCAGGGACAACUGAAGCUAUUUCAUCACAUGCCCUGAUGUGAAAGUCAUCCAAAGUCUGGGGAAAAAAAAUAGUUUCAUGUACUUUAUUCUUAGGACAUUAUCAAGGGCACUCUUACGUUUUAUCCCACUUGUUAUUGUUAGACUGAAGAAAACAGGACUCAGGACACCUGAUUUUUCUUUCUGCUCCUACUGUUAUUUCUGUUUCAUCCAAGGACAGGCGGGCGUCCAACGGACACCGAGGGACGUGCGCCGCGUUUAACCCACAUGAAAGCUCGACAAAAAGUCUAGAUUUAUUUAUUAAAGGUUUUAUAUUCUCUGAAACAUUUGCAUUCUUUUUUGCAAGUUAUAAAAUGAACCUGUGCUAUUUUCUCCGUCUGCCUCCUCUCUCUCUCUCUCUCUCUCUCUCUCUCUCUCUCUCUCUCCCUCAGGCCUGCAGGAACAUGUGGCACCUGCUAGGUACCACGCUCAAGGGAUGUCCACGCUUGGAUGAAUCCAGGAGGAGGUUGGCUGUGCAGUGGGAGCGUAUGAACAGAGAGGGUGUCCAAGCCUCCUCCUGCAGCACAGCAAGCAGUUCACAGGCUUCGACGAGAGCUCUGGAAUGUCACAGAGAUUAGGAGCUUUUGCCUCCCGCACCCGACGGAUCGGCUCUGACUGCCCCCCCAUCCUGUGCCCGCGCCUCCUUCCUCCCAAGCAGGUGAGAAGUGGCAUUUCCUUUCCUGCUUUCCUGUGCCCUUGGGGAUUUCCUGCAUGGGAAAUAGCAUUCAUCCAUGUUAAGAGAUGAGCGAGGAGGGGAACAGGCGAUUUGGAGAGGGAACG